rnacentral:rRNA from 1 species
CCUACGGGUGGCUGCAGUGGGGAAUAUUGCGCAAUGGGCGCAACCCUGACGCAGCAACGCCGCGUGAAGGAAGAAGGCUUUCGGGUUGUAAACUUCUUUUCUUAGGGACGAUAAUGACGGUAUCUCAGGAAUAAGCCACGGCUAACUACGUGCCAGCAGCCGCGGUAAUACGUAGGGGGCAAGCGUUAUCCGGAUUUACUGGGUGUAAAGGGCGCGUAGGCGGGGUUGUAAGUCAGAUGUGAAAACCAUGGGCUCAACCCAUGGACUGCAUUUGAAACUGUCGGUCUGGAGUGUGGGAGAGGCAGGCGGAAGUCCGGGUGUAGCGGUGAAAUGCGUAGAGAUACGGAGGAACACCAGUGGCGAAGGCGGCCUGCUGGACAAUAACUGACGCUGAGGCGCGAAAGCGUGGGGAGCAAACAGGAUUAGAUACCCGUGUAGUC